CUUGACAUCAACAUAUGCACCUCAUGGCCGGAAAGUGUGACAUGAGGUGCUACUCCGAUGGAAAACUGAUCACUAUUCUUAGCAUCGAUGGCGAAGGAGUGAGAGGGAUCAUCCCGGGGAAAAUCCUAGAAUUCCUUGAAUUUGAGCUCCAGAAGUUGGACGGUGAUAAUGUGAGCAUCUCAGAAUAUUUUGACAUGAUCGCCGGGACCAGCACAGGAGGCCUCAUAGCAGUCAUGCUCGCAACUGCGGAUCCAAAUGAUUCCCA